CAGUGCAAAUAUUUAUCAAAAAGAAGGAUGUCUCUUCGGAGACAUCCGAUAAAAUCAAAAAGAAGGAUAGCGUCUCUCCACUCACACUUCGCCUUCCUCGUCAUGUCGCGCGUGUAGAACAAACGCCACCCUUUGCCUCCUCGUCUUGCUCGUACAACCUCCUCACUCCCCCUCCCCUCCUUCAUCUCCUCCAUCACCGCCGCCUGAAGAACCCCAGCGUCCCCGACGCGCGUCGCAUCCUGUCGAAUUCCUCCCUCCUCUUUGGCCGGGUCCGCCGAGGUCGAUGAUCGGGAAGCUGAGAUUCUCGGAUCCGCCGCUCGAUUCGGAGCUGCCUGCCUUCGGAUGACGAAAUUCUAGGGAUUUCGGUGAUCGCGGCGUCGACGAGGCCUUUGACGCCGGCUUUCAAGUCGUCGCCUGCUCUGUCGUGGCUUUCUGCUCGCCGGAGUCGGAGGCCAAAUCAAUGGGUCAACUUGCGCUGUGGACAUGGCGGAUGGUAGGGGCACAUGAUCGCCCGUCCUUUUCCACACUCCAUCUCCUUCAAAUGAUUUGGGUGGAGUCCUAGGGCUUCUGAUAAGUGCUCAAACAGACGAGAACCCAUUCUCAUCACAUGCUUUGAGUACUCCAGCAUUUCUCUGCCAGAAAUGUUGCGAUGCAUUAGAAAACUGAACUAGAGCUGCCGUAAAAGUAUGGUUGGACUGAUUCCUAGAGAAUACAACAAAGGGUGUUGAUAUUUUGUAUUAACUCAGGUGCAAAAGUUUGCUACUGCUAUUGCUAGAACGCGAAUAAAGUCAACCGUCAUGGAACA